CUUUUAAUUACAUGAUUGUAAUUAUACAAUUUCCACUAUUCGAUAUUUUGUAUAAAACCAGUUACAACCCACAAGAUUUUCAAAUGUGACAAUAUGUAUCAAACUACAUACAUAUGCAAAGUUUACACGCCAUUAGGAAGCUUUAUCUUAAAAAUACCUUCAGGAAAAUAAACAUUCAUUCAACCAGUUCUCUUGGCUUUAAAAAAUAUGAUUAGAAAUAUACGCUGUAAAAAAAAAUCAAGACAAUGAUUGAUCAAUACUGAUCAGUUACAUUUUAAAACUUUUAAUAAUCUGUACAUGAGUGCAGGUUAGAUAAAAGUCUGCAAAUUAUUAAUAGAAAACUGCAGUACUAUCAUCGGAUGAACAUGUCUGCUGACAAUUCUACCAGGUAAUUAAGGAGGUAAUUUCCUACACAGUAUAGGUGAAUUGUCCAGUCUUUAAACACAUCUGGAGUCAUCUCCACUGAGUGACAUGGAGAAUACCCUGAUGUGGGUAAAUGGAAGAGCAGCAGAUAGCCUCUCCAGGGCAGUUUCAGCGGGAGAGAACAUUUAAAGGAACAAUAAAAUAGGUUUUAAAAGUUGCUUUUGAUGAGCACUGCUUUCCAAAAUGCAAUAAUGAUUUUUUUUAAUGUAGAAAGAGAAGCUGUGUUAAGAACAGACAUCCAAUGAGUGCACUGCUUCUGUGGCUCCAAAGGUGACUGGGGAAAGAGAAGGCCCCAGGAGAGCCCUCAGGCCACACACAAGCCCAGGCCAUCCCGCCCAGCAAGCACACUGGCCUCGAGCACACUGGCCUCAUAACAAUGCUUGGGAACUCCUCUAAAACUUGCCUAGGCCCAAGAAAACAGAGAGGUAGCAAUCACCCCUGUGAGAGGGCUAGAGAGGAGGGGAGGAAGUAGGUAGGGGACAGGCUAGGGGCAUCAAGCUCAGAACAGGGGAAUUCUGGAGGCCGCAGAGCUGCGUGCUGCCGGGAAGCACUGGCCACGCCAGGCCAUUCUGCUCUCACGAGGCGCUGCUCCUCACCAAAUUCUACAAAAAGCUAAGUCCAUCUGUACUUCUAGGAACCCAGUUUUGCAGACGCUCUUCCUCCGGACUGUCCCUGACUCUUGAUAAUUUUGAGUCCCCAGAAAGCUUCAAGAGCACCUAAAAAUAUUCACUUCCAAUUUUAAUUCCAUUGCAAACCGUCCCGGUGUACUUUCAGGGCUAUUUAAGGCUCUUAGGUUAAGGGGAUCUCUCCAUCUGACACAGAGUUUCAUGUUCCAUAGCAACAAGGUCUUCUGUAACAACGACUCUAAGUCAGAAUUCCAGAAGAUUCUGGUUGUUUGUGGUUUCAGUUGGGGAUGAGGGGAAGAGUCCACUCUCAUUCAUAGCAGGAAGAACUUUCCAUCCCUCAGACCCAGAGACUUCCUGGAUGCUAGAGACAGUCCUCGUAAGUGUAACACUGUUGCUAUGCACACCAUCCCAAGUCAUUUGGUUAUUACAAGGAAUGCCUCUUCACCAAAUCACAAGUUUUCUAUGACUAAUUUCAGUGAACCAGUUAAAUAGAAAGAUUUUUAGAAAGAGCCACAGUGAUAGCAAUUCUAGGUGGAAACUUGAGCAGGCAACAUGAAGAGGCAGUUUAUAAAAUGAAAAAGGGCUGUGGUUCCAGUGACACCCUUUCUUUUCUUGGACGAAACACCAGGAGGCUCAUUCACCGUGAGGGAGACAGUACUCACAAGAGCUGUGGCGCCUACGUUUACUUGUUCUGAUGGGAUGAAAAGCCAAACUAAGAAGGGAUCAGAUAGAAGCACGAUUUUCACAACUACCUGGAUUAUUAUUAAUGGAGGGGAUGGCCUUAAAAGGGGUAAGGGGAAGAAGAGGUGCCCUGAGAAUUCAAUGCUUUAUGCAUGGCACAGUUUGAAUAUUUAUAUUGUCUCAGCUCAAAAUAGCAAAAGGAAUGUUCCUCCUCCCACCCAAAUCUUAUUGAAGAGUAGUCUGCCCACAGCCAAGUGGGUCUUUGUGCCUAUUCAUUUCCAGGGACAGAAAACCACUGUUUUUCUGUGAUCCAGUCCCCAGUGUUUAAAAGCUGGCCUGACCCCACCCGACAGUGCCUGGCGGGGAAAGAGUUGCUUGUUUGGCUGAGAACACGGCAUCUUCCGUCUCUCAUGAUGCCGGUCAAUUUUAUACUUUCUUCCAAGAAAGUACACCAAAAUGGAGGCACUGCCUUUCAAUUACUUUUUGCAUUAAAGACUUUUAACUUGUUUAUUCCAACCGCUUUUAUUUCUUCCAGUUUUGUGAAAAAGGCAGCUUCUUAAAAUGGAGUUGCCUACUGAUCUGGCGCACGCCUUGUGGCUUAGGAGGGCAUUUGUUUCCCACUGCCUGUCGACAUCUCAGCCCUCCAUGCUCCCGGCACAGGCAAAAAUGGCUUAACAAUCAUUAAACCACCCACUUCUUAUGGAAGGAACUGAGUUCACGACGCUACACUUUCAGGUCA
rnacentral:lncRNA from 1 species